UUUCACAUGUAGGAUUAACAUUGACCUCUUUCUAAACGAGUCUAUAUUUCACUGAUACGAUAUCUUAGAGAGAAUUAAAAUAGUCCACAGUUUACCUCAAUAGUGAAAUCUAAAAUUUUGCAAUUCGAGCCUCCUCUCAAACCACAACUCUUUAGCCAUGCUUGAGGGUGGCCAAAAUUUUAAGGUGUAAUCCCCAUAUUUGGUAUAGCUCCAAAUAAGCCUAUUUAGUAGUACCUUCUGCUAAGGGGGGUUGCUAAUAUUUGUGAGACUUUUUAGUAGCUAAAUAAGUAGUGCGAUAAUGGGAUGUUCUAAAUGGCUUCAUGAGGAUC
rnacentral:lncRNA from 1 species